GUAUGAAGAGGUCUACAAUUACAUGUAUUUCUCUGUAAGCUGGCUGUGUGUGGGUUGAGUGCUGUACUUUUAGCUGGACCCUGUGUACUGUGCACACAGCCUCCCUUUACAUGAUGCUGGUCGAAGAGGAGCCAGGACAGAAAAACACAGAUUCUGGCAAACUCCUCUGCUCUAAGUGAUCUUUCUUAACUGCCCUUCACAAAGUAAAAACUUGAUUUUCCAUGUGCCUCAGUUUAUUUAGAAAGGUAAAUAGCCUAAAGGAAGCAGCUUCCAAACCUCUCCAAAACAGGUAUUUCCAAGAUAAAGGAAUCAGUAUACAGGUCUUCUGCAUGACUGGAGAACUAUGAUGCUGGCUUUCAGCAUUCUUUCUGGCAGCUAAACAACCUCACCACAACAGAAGCGGUGACACUCCCUCCUCACCCUCCCUGCUCAGCCUGGUCUGUAGCCUUUCUCAGCUACCUGCAAAAGAAAAGCAACCAAUUUGAGCUCCACCUGUGAGACGUGGUCCCAGAUCUCAAUCCUGCAGGUAUGAAAAGACAGAACCAACUUAAACAGCAGGCAAGGCACUGAGAAUGCAAGGGGCGAAUUCGGCACUAGAAAAUUUACUUGCUGAGCUGGGAUUCAUCAUACAAACAUCCCUUCAUGAAUAUCAGUGGCGCCUGCAUGCCUUCUGGAUCCAACUCACUCUCACUGAAGCAAAGAGGUACAACUGGCAACUUUUUCUGUCAGCAAAAGAUCUAUUUGUGGAAGAGCCAUCCUUAGAAACUUCACAUCACAUAUCAGAGGGCUUGCGCUGAACUUGAAGACCUAAGUUAUCCAGAGAUGAUAGCUACGUUCAUGUUGUGAAAUCCAAAGAAGAAAGGAACUCCAAAAAAGAAAGAAAACAGGCAAUCCCACUUGUCCAACAAACAAGGAUGCAGGAAAAUGUUCUCAGUAAGUCCUAUGAGGAUUGUCAGCCUUGAAAUUAGUUCCCUUUUGCUCCGCCUCUGGGAGAUCCCUUUCUCCCAAAUAAUGUAUCAACGUGACCAUCUCUUAUGCCCACUUCUCUCAAAAUGCGAGCAAUAUGAGCCUGUAAAACUGACCUUCCUGUCAUGAUGCACCACAGCUCUGCCAUCCAAAUGCCUUGGAGAAAGAUUCACGGCCUGUAUCUACACAUCUGUACACCUUGGUUCCCUUAUUCCUCAAGACAGUGUAGCCAUAUCUAAAAUGUUUCUCAGCCUCAUAAUGCUCUUAGCCUCUGGCUGCUGCCUAUGGAUUUUCUGGUCAAGUAACAGGUCAGUCAGUCCAAACUGUGUCAGAGACUGUGCUAGAAAUACGUCUUUCUGCACGUCACGUGCUGCCUCCAAAUUCUGUGCAGUGCUAUAGCUAACAAGAC
rnacentral:lncRNA from 1 species